GAGUUUGAUCAUGGCUCAGAUUGAACGCUGGCGGCAUGCUUUACACAUGCAAGUCGAACGGCAGCGAGGAGAAGCUUGCUUCUCUGUCGGCGAGUGGCGAACGGGUGAGUAUAGCAUCGGAACGUGCCAAGUAGUGGGGGAUAACCAAACGAAAGUUUGGCUAAUACCGCGUAAGCUCCAAGGAGGAAAGUAGGGGACCUAAUAAGGCCUUACGCUAUUUGAUCGGCCGAUGUCGGAUUAGCUAGUUGGUGGGGUAAUGGCUCACCAAGGCAAUGAUCCGUAGCGGGUCUGAGAGGACGAUCCGCCACACUGGGACUGAGACACGGCCCAGACUCCUACGGGAGGCAGCAGUGGGGAAUUUUGGACAAUGGGGGAAACCCUGAUCCAGCCAUGCCGCGUGUAUGAAGAAGGCCUUAGGGUUGUAAAGUACUUUUGUUAGGGAAGAAAAGCUAGUUUUUAAUAAAAAUUAGUGAUGACGGUACCUAAAGAAUAAGCACCGGCUAACUACGUGCCAGCAGCCGCGGUAAUACGUAGGGUGCAAGCGUUAAUCGGAAUUAUUGGGCGUAAAGCGAGUGCAGACGGUUACUUAAGCCAGAUGUGAAAUCCCCAAGCUUAACUUGGGACGUGCAUUUGGAACUGGGUGACUAGAGUGUGUCAGAGGGAGGUAGAAUUCCACAUGUAGCGGUGGAAUGCGUAGAGAUGUGGAGGAAUACCGAUGGCGAAGGCAGCCUCCUGGGAUAACACUGACGUUGAGGCUCGAAAGCGUGGGGAGCAAACAGGAUUAGAUACCCUGGUAGUCCACGCCCUAAACGAUGACAAUUAGCUGUUGGGCUUUGAAAGGCUUAGUAGCGAAGCUAACGCGAGAAAUUGUCCGCCUGGGGAGUACGGUCGCAAGAUUAAAACUCAAAGGAAUUGACGGGG
rnacentral:rRNA from 1 species